AACUGCGAAUGGCUCAUUAAAUCAGUUAUCGUUUAUUUGAUAGUACCCUACUACAUGGAUACCUGUGGUAAUUCUAGAGCUAAUACAUGCGCAAAACCUCGACUUCGGAAGGGGUGUAUUUAUUAGAUAAAAAACCAAUGCCCUCCGGGGCUCCUUGGUGAUUCAUAAUAACUCAACGAAUCGCAUGGCCUUGCGCCGGCGAUGGUUCAUUCAAAUUUCUGCCCUAUCAACUUUCGAUGGUAGGAUAGUGGCCUACCAUGGUGGCAACGGGUAACGGGGAAUUAGGGUUCGAUUCCGGAGAGGGAGCCUGAGAAACGGCUACCACAUCCAAGGAAGGCAGCAGGCGCGCAAAUUACCCAAUCCCGAUACGGGGAGGUAGUGACAAUAAAUACUGAUACAGGGCUCUUUUGGGUCUUGUAAUUGGAAUGAGUACAAUUUAAAUACCUUAACGAGGAACAAUUGGAGGGCAAGUCUGGUGCCAGCAGCCGCGGUAAUUCCAGCUCCAAUAGCGUAUAUUAAAGUUGUUGCAGUUAAAAAGCUCGUAGUUGAACCUUGGGUCCGUCCUGCCGGUCCGCCUCACCGCGAGUACUGGUCCGGAUGGGCCUUUCUUUCUGGGGAAUCCCAUGGCCUUCACUGGCUGUGGCGGGGAACCAGGACUUUUACUGUGAAAAAAUUAGAGUGUUCAAAGCAGGCCUUUGCUCGGAUACAUUAGCAUGGAAUAAUAGAAUAGGACGUGCGGUUCUAUUUUGUUGGUUUCUAGGACCGCCGUAAUGAUUAAUAGGGAUAGUCGGGGGCGUCAGUAUUCAGCUGUCAGAGGUGAAAUUCUUGGAUUUGCUGAAGACUAACUACUGCGAAAGCAUUCGCCAAGGAUGUUUUCAUUAAUCAGGGAACGAAAGUUAGGGGAUCGAAGACGAUCAGAUACCGUCGUAGUCUUAACCAUAAACUAUGCCGACUAGGGAUCGGGCGGUGUUUCUAUGAUGACCCGCUCGGCACCUUACGAGAAAUCAAAGUUU
rnacentral:rRNA from 1 species